rnacentral:rRNA from 1 species
CCACGGGUGAGUAACACGUAUCCAACCUGCCGUCUACUCUUGGACAGCCUUCUGAAAGGAAAGAUUAAUACAAGAUGGCAUCAUGAGUCCACAUGUUCACAUGAUUAAAGGUAUUCCGGUAGACGAUGGGGAUGCGUUCCAUUAGAUAGUAGGCGGGGUAACGGCCCACCUAGUCUUCGAUGGAUAGGGGUUCUGAGAGGAAGGUCCCCCACAUUGGAACUGAGACACGGUCCAA